AUCGUUCAAGUCGUCGUUAGCGUUGUCGGCAGCGCUGCCAUCACGCUGAGUGUGUUUAUCGAUGUGGUCGUCGUCGUCAUUGUCGUUACCGUUGUCUUCUUCGUCAAGCGUCAUUGUGUUUGCUGCGUUGUGUCGUGCCAACAUCACAUUGUGCCGCUGACUGUGCUGCUCCUGCUCCUGCUGCCUUUCAUUGUAUAUUGGGCUGUCAGCUCUCAACGUUGUCAGUGUCAAAAAGAUGUUUUAGUCGACAACUGAACGCUUCAACGGAAUCAUGUCGAAUAAUUUCAAUAGUGUUGCGCUGCCUGUAACCACUACUAACACUACGCCAACAACAAUAAGAAAAACAAAUCUAACUACUUUUUUCACAACGUCUAAAAUUGCCACUGCAACAGCAAUAACAAAAACAACAACAAAAGACAGCUUCACUUCACUUGUAAGCGACAGCGCAUAUUUGACAGCUGCAAAAAUAAUAGAAAUAUUAGAGACAGCCAAAACAGCAAUAACAACAACAACAACCGUAAAAAAAACAAAAACAAUACCAGCCAUACUAAAAACAAAUGCAGUGGCAGCCAGCGCGUGCAAUAUUGUAAUUUUGCAUUAGCUACUGCAACAACAACAACAAGAAAGUGAAAACGUGUUAGCCCACAGCGCGCAGUGCGUUUGUAUUUUCUUGUAUAAAUGUGUAAGUGUGUGUGUUGCAGCUUUUCGUGCUGUGCUUUUGACUCGAGCGCCUUGCGCCUUUAGUGUUGGCGGGAGUGUCGUCGCUGUUUGUUGGCAGCAGCGUUAUCAUUAGUGUGACGGCAAGGACAUUUGCUAAACGCCGAAGACUUUGUGUGUCGGCGCUGACGUACGCAAUUGACAACAAAUCCAAGUUUAGUGUCAAUCAAAGGGUGUUCAAUGAAAUCUAAGACGCAGACACAGCCGGACAUAUCAACGCAGCAGCAGAUUAACGGUGGAAAAUAAGCAAACCAAAAAAUCGAAAACCGAAAAACUUUAAGCACAAAAGCUAAAUAAAUAAAUAGCGCUUAGCAACAAAAACAACAAGAGACUAUAAAUUACAGCAAAUAGCUGCUAAAUCACUGGACUAAGGCGCUAUGCGGGAGCUGCCACAAAAUAAAAAUUAAAACAACAACAAA
rnacentral:lncRNA from 1 species